rnacentral:rRNA from 1 species
AGGAUGAACGCUGGCGGCGUGCUUAACACAUGCAAGUCGAACGGUGAAAGAGGAGCUUGCUCCUCUGGAUCAGUGGCGAACGGGUGAGUAACACGUGAGAAUCUGCCCUGGACUCUGGGAUAAGCGUUGGAAACGACGUCUAAUACCGGAUACGAGCUUCAGCCGCAUGGCUAGAAGCUAGGAAAGAACUUCGGUCCAGGAUGAUCUCGCGGCCUAUCAGCUAGUUGGUGAGGGUAACGGCCCACCAAGGCGACGACGGGUAGCCGGCCUCGAGAGGGUGACCGGCCACACUGGGACUGAGACACCGGCCCAGACCUCCGUACGGGACGCAGCGAGGUACGGGGAAUAUUGCAACAAGUGGGCCGCGAAGCCUGAAUG